rnacentral:lncRNA from 1 species
UUUUCUCAAAAUUCUUUUAUAAAAACAUCCCUUACAAUUUCUAUCAUAAUUUUCCAAUAUAUAAUUUUAUUUAUAUAAAUAUGCAUUUGGGAAAAUUUUGAAUAACCAAAAUAUAAUCAUUUCAAAUUAAACCCAAUAAAAAUAAAGCUAAAAUUAACUUAAAUAAAAACUCAUUAUUAAAUAUAUAAAAAUUCCGGGUGUUACAUUCUCCCCCCCUUAAAAAAAAAAUUCGACCUCGAAUUUUAAAAGAAAAGGGGCUACACUCUAAGACUGAAACUAAUUAGGAACCUCUCAUCUCUAACUCGGCUUCUCGGGAACUUUUCCCUCGGUAGAAACUAACUAAACCACAAGACUCAUCGACAAAACCCUUAAAUAAAACUGGCGAACCUGAAAAUCCGCUAUCCUCACCUACUACUCCUCGAAAACCAAAUCUUCACUUAAAUUCACACACUGAGGAUCCAACACGAGCAAAGAUCGAAAAUAUACUUCCUCAACUCAGACCUACGAACAACUGGAUUUGACCUCAGAGAACAUUACUAAUACUUGGCGGCAAGUCCAACUUACAUGCCACCUCACCAACCUGCCGACAAAACCAAGGGUCUCCAUAUCCUUAUUUUCUUACCGAGUCACAUCACUUAUGACAUAAAAGUCACCUUAUGAAAACAUACUCUCUAACACCAAUCUCCACGUGCCCCCACUCGGGUUCGCACAACCCUUCUGCUUCUAAAAAGCUGUCUUCAGCUGCUCGCGAGAAAAAGAACCUCCUUUUAUAGACUUGGACCAACUCUAGUCUUGCCUACAAUCUACUCGCCAACUUCCUUCCAAAUCACAUGCCCUUAUACACGCAGAAAAUUCUUAACAUCUACAUCACAUCAUCAACGACAUAACAUCCAUCUGAUCGCAUCAACCGAUAUAAACCAUGCCAUCCUGACACAAGAUUCCUCCUUGACUGAAAUCCAAAAGCCUCCCUUAUUAUCUAACAUGGGGCCUACAGCUCCACAGACUUACUCUCUCAGCAACUCAACUCGUCAUCCAGAGAAUUCUCAAGCUAACACUAUUUACUUUGAAAAAUUUACUUAUUAUUUACUUUAUAAUCAUCACUGAUAAAAGCUUUAUUAUCUUGGAAAAAUACUUUUAUAAAAUCGUAAAAUCUCUAGUCAUUUUUCUUUAUAUAAAAUUCUACAAUAUCGCGCGCCAGGGUGAUGAUGCCCCCUAUCACCAAGGGUUGCAAUGCACAAUGUAUGAUGCAUGUCCUAAAAUGAAUUUAUGCAUGCCUAACAGUGAAAUGCCAUAAUGCAUUCUUACGGAACUGGGCGCAAUAUUGUAUUUUAAAACACUUGUUCUACUUAGAAAAAUAAAUAAUGUUCGCUUAAGUUUCUCUGGAUUUUGAGCGUCCGAAAACACUCCUGCCACCUUUCUUAAGCUUCUUACAAUCACCAAAACUCAACCAUAGAGCUCUGAAAUCUACUCGACUUCCCAGGCACUACUUUCGGCGCUACUCAAUAAGACGAUGCCUGAUGCGAUGACGAGGCAGCUCAUGACACGACUGCAACCACGCUCUACACUAAAACUGACUGCGGUGCCCACUAUCGAAACAACAAUCAAAGCUUCUAAAGGCGGACUGCACUAAUCACUUGAAGAAACAGCACGAGUCUAUCGCGCUUCGGAUCUUCCCAUCGCUACAAGGCACAUUCUCAGCACAGCACCAAGGACAAGCUUACAAGAAAGGAAAGACUGACUCACUAACAGUGAAGGCUGAAACACUGGAGUCAAUGAAAACAACAAGACAAACUUGAUCCUAACUCCGCAGUACCAAGAAAAAUUUUAACUUAGGUCGAAGGAAAUCUAAACCUAAGCUCUGAUACCAACUUUGUCACGACCCCACCCGUGGGCCCGUGACCGGCACUAGGGAAUGGGUAGGCUUAAGGCCACCGAAACCCGUAGUAAGCCUGACACUCACUGAUUUAAACAAAUCUCAACUCAAAUUUAUAUUAUUAAAACCAUAAAUUAUCUUAAUAGUUACACUUUACAAAAUUACUUCGGUCUACCAGAAAAUACUAGGCGAGACCCGAAGCUCAGAAAAUUUACAACUGAUACAUAUACUAAUUACUACUGCGGAGAAUCUAAGAUUUACCAUUUUACAUACCAAAUCAAUACUUCACCCGAUGAUAAAGGAGUCGGGUUACUGAAUAAGAGUCGCAGGAGAACUAACAGUCACAAAGCUGAAAAAAAAUAAAUGGAGACUGUCAGUCUCGAGAGUGAGUUAAAAUCAUACAUCUAAAACAGUUUCAAAUAUCUCAAUGUCACAUUCAUUUAAUUUUAAAAUAAUUAAUAAAUCACGCGAACCAUACGUGUCAUGUUAAAAC